UACGAAGGGGGCUAGCGUUGCUCGGAAUCACUGGGCGUAAAGGGUGCGUAGGCGGUUUUAAGUCAGGGUGAAAUCCUGGAGCUCAACUCCAGAACUGCCUUUGAUACUGAAGAUCUUGAGUCCGGGAGAGGUGAGUGGAACUGCGAGUGUAGAGGUGAAAUUCGUAGAUAUUCGCAAGAACACCAGUGGCGAAGGCGGCUCACUGGCCCGGUACUGACGCUGAGGCACGAAAGCGUGGGGAGCAAACAGGG
rnacentral:rRNA from 1 species